rnacentral:rRNA from 1 species
UUGGUUAAGUCAGGCAACGAGCGAGAUCCGCACCUUUAUUUGCCACCAAGAAGUCACGACUUCGUUGGGAACACUAAAGGGACCGCCGUCGAUAAGACGGAGGAAGGAGCGGGCAAAGGCAGGUCAGUAUGCCCCGAAACCCCUGGGCUACACGCGGGCUGCAAUGGUAUGAACAAUGGGCUGUGACUCCGAAAGGAGAAACCAAUCCUGAAAUCAUAUCUCAGUUGGAAUUGUCGGCUGUAACCCGCCGACAUGAACGCGGAAUCCCUAGUAAUCGUGUGUCAUCAACGCACGGUGAAUACGUCCCUGCUCCUUGCAC